rnacentral:rRNA from 1 species
UACGGAAGGCAGCAGUGGGGAAUAUUGCACAAUGGGUGAAAGCCUGAUGCAGCUAUGCCGCGUGUAUGAAGAAGGCCUUAGGGUUGUAAAGUACUUUCAUCGGGGAGGAAAAAACAAAACUAAUAAUUUUAUUUCUUGACGUUACCCGAAAAAGAAGCACCGGCUAACUCCGUGCCAGCAGCCGCGGUAAUACGGAGGGUGCUAGCGUUAAUCAGAAUUACUGGGCGUAAAGAGCACGUAGGUGGUUUUUUUAAGUCAGAUGUGAAAUCCCUGGGCUUAACCUAGGAACUGCAUUUUGAAACUGAAAUACUAGAGUAUCGUAGAGGGAGGUAGAAUUCUAGGUGUAGCGGUGAAAUGCGUAGAUAUCUGGAGGAAUACCUGUGGCGAAAGCGGCCUCCUAAACGAAUACUGACACUGAGGUGCGAAAGCGUGGGGAGCAAACAGGGAUUAGAUACC